GCCAAGGGUUAGUUGAAUGUACCUGCACAAGCACACAGCAAGAAACUUACCUCAACAAUUUGCUAGGAUAAAUCAUUCCAUAACUGAGGAAGAAGGAACACGGCACAAAACGGAAAGUUCUGGACAGACUGAGGAUGCCUAACACCCGGAUGAGCGCGAUAGCAGAAAAAUCAUGUUGGAUCGAGAGAGAUGGGAAGACUCGGUCCAGCGAUAUCCGCUGGUAGAUGCAUGUGUGUGUGACGAACGAAAGACUUCAAACCCCGCUUCCCCCGUAUUUCAUCCAUAAUUUUUUGUCACACGCACACACCUCUGCACGGGCGGCGGUUUGCCGUCCAAAAUCUAGAGAGAGAAGACAGGGCCUCUCGCUUUGGCACACAGCAAAAUCUCUCAACAACUUCGGCUCUGCUACUUGGGUAAAGCCUCUCUAACUAUCCCAUCUUUUCCUGGUGUGAACUUUACUAUUUUCCCUCUGGUCCAUUGGUCUUUUGGUGUAGUUCCUAUUAUGAUCACAAGAUCUCCUAUCUUCAAAUUUUCGACUUCUUUGAACCAUUUACUGCUUUUUGUAAUGACCGGGAGGUAUUCCUUAAGCCACCUUUGCCAAAACUGUUCGGUAAUAUACCUCGCUAGUUUCCAACUACUCCUGAGUGUUGCUUUCUGCUCUACUUCAGGUGAAAGUAUUUUUUUUUUGUUCCGUUCGAGUUGCCUAACAGGAAGUGGUUUGGUGUUAACGCCUCUUCAUCGGCUGAUUCAAGCGGAAUAUACGUUAAGGGUCUGGCGUUUAUCAUUGCUUCAGCUUCUAACAAUAUUGUUUCUAACGUUUCAUCAUCUGGCUUCCGCGUUGUGUCUAUUACUGUACUGAUUGCCGUUUUGACUGACCUAACGAUUCUUUCCCAUGCGCCACCCAUGUGUGGUGUUGCAGGUGGUAUAAAUAUCCAGUUAGUUGUUUGGCUUAUAAAUGUAACUGGAAGUGCGCUACUGAUCCCUUCUUUAAUUUCGUUGCUAGUUCCUUGAAAGCAAGUCGCGUUGUCAGACCAAAACUCUAUGGGCGUGCGUCUUCUAGCAAUGAAUCGCUUUACUGCCAUAAUACACAUUAUUCUGUACUCAGAAAAUAAACUACUUCUAAGUGCACUGCCCUCACUGUUAAGCACGUGAAGAGUGCUAUCCAACGAUUUGCAUUAUCUCGACCAACACGCACUAGUACUGGACCGAAAUAAUCCACUCCGGUGUAGGUAAACGGGUUGGUGAAGGCUGCCAGGCGCAUUUUUGGGAGGGAAGCCAUCGGUGGCGGCUUCGGAUACCUUCUCAUCACUCGGCAGUACGGGCAUGCAUCGGCCACCUUCUUUACUAAUGCUCGUAGAUUGAGGAUGUCAAAGCAUUGGCGUAUUUCGUUCACUACUGUCUCCUGUUUGCAUGUCGAUACUGGUAGUGGUACCAACCUACAAUAAGGAACGUAAGGUGACUAUAUUUGGGAAGUAAAACUGGGUACUUAGCUGCAAAGGUAGCGUAGAUUGAUGCACCGAUCCGUCCUCUCAUCCUUAGUACACCUUCUUCGUCCAUGAAGGGCCACUUUUUAUAGAUAGGACUGGAUUUGCAGACAUUCCCGUGCCGUUCGUCCGAGCCUCCAAGUGUCUUGCUCAGUUCCGUCACCUCAUCUGGGAAGGCUUCGUGUUGCGCAAACUUCCAUUGCGCCAAUUCUGCUUUACGCAGCUUGUCCUGCUUGAGUAUUCCAACUAGACAUGGGCAAGAAGAGCGGGAAUCAUAAAGGCCGGGCUACAUUGAUCGUACUCUCUGGUGUAAUUUUGAUUUUCACUAGCGCAUCUGGCGGCGGCUGGUGGAAGCUUUUUUUAGUCGUCGGGGGAAUGGUCGUGUUGGAUUUCAAAAUUAAUCAGUUUUUUCACCGUUUUUGAUGCAAAAACUGCUGAAAUACUUGUAAAACAUAUUUAUCUAUCAAUUACAAAGCUUUUCCAGUCCAAUUAAAGUAAAAAACAUGGAAAAAUAACGUAUUUUCUGAAGCGGCUCCAAAUUGUUUGGCAAAAUGCUUCGGUCAGUCGCCGCCAGAUGCGCUAGUGAAAAUCAAAAUUACACCAUAGAGUACGAUCAAUGUAGCCCGGCCUUAAGGUUCGCUCGCUCCCAUUAGAGAGCGGGCGCUCGCCGCUCUUCAUUUCAGAAAAAUAUGAUUCGCCCGCUCGCAUAGAAAAAUAUAAAAAAAGCUCGUUUAAAACUAGUUGCCCCGAGAAAAAAAUAAUCAAAAUCUAUAAUACUGUUGGGCUUAUACGGAAUGUAAAUAGUCGCAUGUAAAAAAAUCAAAUAUUUUUAUUGUGGUUAAAGCUAAUACUCAAAUUAACGUUUUAAAAAAAAAAAAAAAAAAAAAAAAAAAAAAAAAAAAAAAAACCUUACAAGCUACUGUCGUCGACCCACACUGCCUAUUCAAAACACACAUAUAAAACAUCGUAGAGCGCGAGCGCAUCGUAUGUGCAAAACACACAGAAAAAAACAGCCUGGCUUGCAAGCGCACUGCUUGUCCAAAAUACGUAGCGAGAAGAUCAGUGUAGCUCGGGAGCGCACUGCCUAUCCAAAAUCCAUGCAGAAAAAAACUGCCUAGCUCGCGAGCGCACUGCCUAUCCAAAAUCCAUGCAGAAAAGAACAGGAUAGCUCGCGAGCGCCCUGCUCAUCCAAAAUACGUACCCGUCCGGCAAAAUGAGUGUAUUUUUUGAGUGAUUUGAGUACCGUCCCCCGUUAGCAGUUACUCUUAGAGGAAUGAGUUACACCCUAGAACGAGCCUUCCCCCUCACCCCACCCGGAACGCACGGUGCGCUCUGCAGUUCUCAAUGUGUUGUGUUCUUUCCAAUCAUGCUACCAACACAUCCAAAGAUAUUUGUUUCUUUCGUUUCUCGUUUUCUUUCAUUCAUUGCCACGAUCGCAAAUACGCACUUAUUCUAACAACAAACACAAACACGGUCAUUUUUGGUUACAUUAAAUACUUUAUUGAAACAUAAAUUACACUUUCACAACACAUUUAGAAUCCUUCAUACUCACGAAUGGCGUCAUACUGUAAAGUACCGGGUCGAGCCAGGCUGCGGGAAACUUGUCGACAAUCUGCGUUGCCUCUGUUCAGCAAAUUCUUACCUGUCGAUGCACGCACUGCAUGUGCGUCUGUACACACUGUUCACUUCACACUUUAUCAAAACACACCAGCGCACGAAAUGCGCACCAACGCACAAACACUGCGCGCGGGACUUAGAACGAAACGCGCACAACCAUCUCCGGCAAAGCGUCGCGCUGUACUGGUUGUUUUGUACGCGUAGGAGGGGGGACAUACGGAGCGAUGGUUCGAUGCUGUAGUGUAAGCGAGACAACACGAUGUGACGAGCAGCUCGAAGUUGUUGAGCUCGCUGAAAGAAGACACACACAUUCACAGACGGCUCGUCAAAGCACGGUAUUUGUAUUGGUGUUAGUGAAGCGCGCGUGUAAAACAGAAUGCGAACUCUCAUCGCAGCGCGUUUCUCCUUGCUUCCUCAAGCUUCCUCAUACCCCUCGACCUGAAUAACUCAACAUUUGGGGUCUCAUUGUUUGCGUGGUCCUCAUACCCCUCGGCCUGAAUAACUCAACAUUUGGGGUCUCAUUGUUUGCGUGGUUGAGAGAGCGAUAGUGCAAAAAAAGAGGGAGAUCUAACCUACAGCGCACAUGCAGUGAGUAUUCUCAUUCGUGCGGUUGAGCUAAGGCAAAUAGGACUAACGGGCCCGUGCAAUUAAUUUAUAAUUAGGGAAUAAAGGAUUUCAUUUGUUUGUGUCAAUGCAAA